ensembl:lncRNA
CUUUGAAUAGGACUCGCGGCUCUGUAAAUUUACACAGACAUUAAAUUUCGUUCUAUUCAUUUUAGACAUAUAAUGCUAAGCUGAUUUUUUUUUUAUAGCACACUGAUCGAUAUCUCUGUAAAAUAAUCAUUUUUUUUUAACUAGCGGGGCAGUGAAAUCUUUGCUUUGUGCUAAAGUCAACAGUGACAGAGUUUGAGCUCAAAUAAAUGCCGUGAUGUCUGGAGCCCUUUGCAGAAGGCAGAAGGCGAGCUUCUACAAUGGGCUUCUGUGCGGCUUGCCAACAACAAGCACCGGCUAUUUUGCACAGGGCUCUGCUGACUGAAGUGAUCCCCAUGGCCUGAGUGGAAGAGAGGAGGGAGAGGAAACCUCAGAGGGAAGAGGGAUAGCUGCACACACACACACACACACACACACACACACACACACACACACACACACACACACACACACACACACACACACACACACACACACACACACACACACUCACACAAUGUCCCUCUCAGGCCUGGGUUGUGACCGGCCCAUGGCAUUGGCCAGACGCACGUGGCUUCCGUUUCAAGGACACUUUUCCAUGGCUGCACUCCGUCUGCUCUCGCCGCCCUGCAUCCAGCGACCUGAAAGCACUUCCCCGUCGAUGUACUUGGCUAUAUCUACGUCCGACCUGCCUGCCAUAUGUAAUAUCAAAGCCUCUGUCAGCGCCGAGCUGAAUGGGAACAAAAGCGAGGCCUCCAUUAAUGAUUAACUGUUCUAAAAGCCCCGGCUUUUGUAUUCCCAUGGUGCCCAGGCUAUCUGGCCACCAUGUGACAUGCUCACAGCAUUUUUCGAGCAGAUUGGGGGAAAGCUAGUGAGCAAACACAGGUGCUUUGGAGCAGCGUUGCCGACGCUGUCAGGGACAACCACAAACAAGAGCAGCUAUGCCUGGCUAAAUGAAUCCCCACCCCUCCCAGCGCCGCCACCACCACCACCACCACCCCCACCCUCUCCGUCGCUAGCUAACUUGUUUGCUAGCUCUCCAUAGCCUUCCUUCUGGAGGCCCCCCCCGCCCCCCGUGAGGCUAAUGUCCGGCCGCUUCACAACUUCUCACACACCCUCCAAAGAAACAAACAAAUAAAAGUGAGGACGGCCGACCGCUUCUUUGAGGUGAUGGCAUUUGCUGUGGUCACGACUAGUGGGAGAGCAAACAAAUUAAUGGUGUUCUAGUUUUCACUUUCCAAACCGAGCCAAACGUCUUUUAGUUCAAGUGGGGCAAUUCCACUGACCCCGGUGUCAAACGCUGCGUGAGGGCUGCACACUCUCGCACUCGAAUCGCAGAGAGGAGGCCGUGAGAAAUUAAACAGGGGGCCCGAGCAUCGGCCCACGCGAGCCUGCUGUGUUGAAACCCCUCAGGGUGACGAAUAAAUCUUAAAUAAAUGAUGUGUAAUAAACACAACAGUGGCUUAUUUUUGCCGUCUGUGUAUUUCGACAGCACACAUUAACAAGAGGUGUGGAGCUCUUAACCUUUUCCUCCAGGCCUUCCAGGACUGGGGUUGCUGUGUCGCUCAACUUUGAUAAGACAAUCAGAUGAUAGGAUGGCGUUAUCUUGACAUGGCUUUCCGGGCCGGGGGACAAAUGAACAGUGUGCGAUAACAGGAACAAAAGCUUGGCUCUUAUUUGUCCUGGCUCCAAAGACUAGAAGAAAUGAUGAGGAUGUAAAACUUACACAAUACAAUAGGUGCCUUUUAUUUCAUUUUCCAGCUCUUUUUUCCCUAAUCACUCAAAUAUUGAUAUUAUCUCUUGUUGGCAUUUUGGUUUGACAUUUUGCAAUUACCUAUUCCUAUAAAGCCGCCAUUAUCCCUUGAAAGAUGAUGAAAAAUGCUUCAAAACCAAAUGAACAGAGAAGGUAUUUGAGUUGUAAAAGUGAGACAAAUAGAUGCAAAAAAAGAGGCCUACUGAUUACAAACACUCAGCAGAUGUUUAUAGAGGAAUUGAAGGACAAAAGAAAUUGCGUGCGUGAAAUGAAGAGAUGGGAAGACGGAGGAAGACGGAGGAAGAGAAAGGUCAAAAGUUGUUCCUUCGGAGACCCGCUUCUGAUUGGUGAAAUGCAACUCCCGUUUUUGGACUUUUGCGGCCCAAUUCUAAGAGUCAGAGAGUGGUGUGUGCUCAAGGAUUCACUCAGUGCUUUGUUUGCUCUAUUGCCAUAAAAUGAUUGGAAAAAAUAUUGGUGCCAUGGCACCAAAUGUGAGAACUUUCUUAAAAAAAAUAAAAAAAUAAACUUCAGAAAUUGCAUGAAUAAAACAUUUGUUUUAAA